UACAGAGGUCCCGAGCGUUGUUCGGCUUCACUGGGCGUAAAGGGUGCGUAGGUGGCAAGGUAAGUUUGAUGUGAAAUCUUCGAGCUCAACUCGGAAACUGCAUUGAAUACUAUCUUGCUUGAGGAGUGGAGGGGAGGCUGGAAUUCUCGGUGUAGCAGUGAAAUGCGUAGAUAUCGAGAGGAACACCAGUGGCGAAGGCGAGUCUCUAGGCAACUCCUGACACUGAGGCACGAAAGCUAGGGGAGCAAACAGG
rnacentral:rRNA from 1 species